rnacentral:rRNA from 1 species
AUACGUAGGGGGCAAGCGUUAUCCGGAAUUACUGGGCGUAAAGGGUGCGUAGGUGGCCUGACAAGUCAGGGGUCAAAGGCAACGGCUCGACCGUUGUAAGCCCUUGAAACUGUCGGGCUUGAGUUCAGGAGAGGAAAGCGGAAUUCCUAGUGUAGCGGUGAAAUGCGUAGAUAUUAGGAGGAACACCAGUGGCGAAGGCGGCUUUCUGGACUGACACUGACACUGAGGCACGAAAGCGUGGGGAGCAAACAGGAUUAGAUACCCUGGUAGUCCACGCCGUAAACGAUGAGUACUAGGUGUCGGCCCUAAGGGUCGGUGCCGCAGUUAACACAUUAAGUACUCCGCCUGGGAAGUACGCUCGCAAGAGUGAAACUCAAAUGAAUUGACGGGG